rnacentral:tRNA from 1 species
GCCCGGCUAGCUAAGUCGGUAGAGCAUGAGACUCUUAAUCUUAGGGUCGUGGGUUCGAGCCCCACGCUGGGCG